rnacentral:sRNA from 1 species
GUCGUGAGAUGUUGGGUUAAGUCCCGCAACGAGCGCAACCCUUGCCAUUAGUUGCUACAUUUAGUUGGGCACUCUAAUGGGACUGCCGGUGACAAACCGGAGGAAGGUGGGGAUGACGUCAAGUCCUCAUGGCCCUUAUGGGUAGGGCUUCACACGUCAUACAAUGGCGGAUACAGAGGGUUGCCAACCCGCGAGGGGGAGCCAAUCCCAGAAAGUCCGUCGUAGUCCGGAUCGGAGUCUGCAACUCGACUCCGUGAAGUCGGAAUCGCUAGUAAUCGCGGAUCAGCAUGUCGCGGUGAAUACGUUCCCGGGCCUUGUACACACCGCCCGUCACACCAUGGGAGUGGGUUUCACCAGAAGCAGCUAGCCUAACCGCAAGGGGGGCGGUUGCCACGGUGAGAUUCAUGACUGGGGUGAAGUCGUAACAAGGUAGCCGUAUCGGAAGGUGCGGCUGGAUCACCUCCUUUCUAGAGAGCGCAUUAUGCUCAGUGCUCACACUUAUCGGUUGUAAUGAAGGCAGGCGCUGGGGGCGGGGGGUUCGCAGGCAGGAGGGGUCUGGGAGCUUCGAGCACUUGGAGCUUCGGGCCUUGUGAGCCUGGGUUUUGGAGGCCGGGUCUGUAGCUCAGUUGGUUAGAGCACCGUCCUGAUAAGGCGGGGGUCGAUGGUUCGAAUCCAUCCAGACCCACCAAUCGAGAGCCGAAUGCGAGAAGGGUCGGCCGGGGGUGUAGCUCAGUUGGGAGAGCGCGUGCUUUGCAAGCAUGAGGUCAUCGGUUCGAUCCCGUUCACCUCCACCAGUACUAUCCUGUGUCUGGGGUGACUAGAGCGGGGGGAGGUUGGAGAAAGGGGCAUGGCCAAAAGGGCAUAGCCAAGUGAGUCCGGAAGCGGGUUUGUUUGGCUCUGGUUUUUUGACCGGAGGAGGUGUACCCAUUUAGGUUGGUGUGCAUCGGCUGUUCUUUAACAAUCUGGAGAAGUAAAGUGUGACGGUUCGUUUGUUCUGAGCCGGGGGCGGAGCAUUGCCCUCCCGGGGAUGGCAGGCGAAUCGACACAGGGAUGUGAUUGUAUCGACUGGCUCUUGUUUCAGAAAUUGAGAUGAGGGCUGGCACAAGCGCGAGAAGUAUUCCUGUAGCCAAGAGACUUGGGUGGGUACCAGGGCUCAAGGUUAUAGGGUCAAGCGAAUAAGUGCAUGUGGUGGAUGCUUUGGCGAUCACAGGCGAUGAAGGACGUAGUAGCUUGCGAAAAGUCGCGGGGAGCUAGCAAACGAGCUUUGAUCCGCGAAUAU